CCUCUCCGUGUCCCCGACGACCCUCACCCGGGCCAACCGCACCGUCACCGUGCGGUGGUCCGGCGUCGACUCGCCGUCGGAUCUGGACUGGCUCGGCGUCUACUCCCCGCCGGACUCCGCUAACGACGAGUUCAUCGGCUACGUCUUCCUCAACGCCUCCGACGGCUGGCGCUCCGGUUCCGGCUCCGUCGAUAUCCCCCUCGUAAACCUCCGCGCCAAUUACGCCUUCCGCGUCUUCCGAUGGAAGCGCGAGGAGGUCAACUACCGCCACCACGACCACGACCACAACCCGCUUCCAGGGACCCGCCACCGCCUGGCCGUCUCGGAGGAGGUCCGGUUCGAGACCGCAGCGGGGCCGGACCAGAUCCACCUC
rnacentral:lncRNA from 1 species